rnacentral:lncRNA from 1 species
UAGCGACGGCCUAAAGACGGUAAGUUGAAACAGAAAGUUCUAAACAAAAAACUAGAGAGGGCCUAGCGACGGCCUAGAGACGGCAAGUUGAAACAGGAAGUUAAAAAAAAAUAUUUAGAGACGGCCCAGGGAGGGCCAUUUUGAAAAUUAGAGACGGCUGAGAGACGACAUUAAAAUUUUAGGCACCAAAAAAUUUGCACGGAAAAAAAAUAAGCGACGGAUUAAAGACGGCUAGGUUCUAAUCCUAUCUAAUCUAAAAUUUUAAUUAGCGACGCCGUUUCUAAUCUUUUCCUAAUAAUUAAAGACGGAUAUGAAGACCAUCUCCAAAAAAUCAGCGAGGCGAGUUUCGGAGAAGGAUUAAAGACGACCAAAAACCGUCGUCAAUCAUCAAUUAGCGACGGUUUUUGAUGAUUAGAGACGGUUUUUGAUGAUUAGAGACGGUUUUUGAUGAUUAGAGACGGUUUCUGACCGUCGCUGAAAGUCAGUAAUUUGGUAGUGUCUAUUGACUCUUUAUCUAUCUAUCUAUCUAUCUAUCUCUUUGUUGGUAUUUUUAUUUUGGUAUGUUUGAUUUUUGUUUAUUUAUGUAUGGAAAUAUUUAUGGUGUUGGAAUGUAUGGAAAUUUGAUUUUGAUUUAUGGUGCUGGAAGCAUACUAUGGUAUGAAUAAAUGAUACGACAAUAAAUUUCUAUGUUUGAAUCUUUUUUUUUGGUUUUUUUAUUUUGGUUUUGUUAUUUUGUGGGUAUGUUUGAUUGUUUUUGGGUAUGUAUGUCUAUGUAUCUAUGUUUGAUUGUAUUUGGGAUUUUAAUUUUGAGAUAACAUUAAUUCAAGUAUCAACUAUCUAUGUUUGUUUGUUAUUGUAAUCUACUGUUUUGAUGAUUGGGUUUAUCUUUGUUUAUUUGUUAUCUAAACUAUCAACUAUCUUUAUCCAAGUUUUUGAGAUUUAAUGUGUGAGUGUAUGACUUGCGAUUUAUCCAAGUUAAAAGCAUGUCGAUUGGGUAUUUUUUAAUAAAUUAAGUGAUGACUUUUAAUCAAACUCAAAUAAGUGAUGAAUGAGUGUUAUUUGAGUGUUAUAUGAAUGUUAUUUGAGUAUUAUCUCUUUAAUUAUUUAAUUAAUGUUUUGACAUAAUUUAAAUAACUAUUUAAUUAAAAUUUUAAUUAUUUGUUUUUAAUUAAAUACUUUAAUUAAUUUGUGAAAUAAUAAUUUAAUAUAUUGUUUUCAAUAAUAAAUUAUGUAAUUAUAUAAUUUAUUUAUUUUCUAUUUGGAAUGAAUUGUAUGAAAUAGAAUUACUUAUUUAAAUAAUAUAAUUAUCUAAUUUGUAAUACCUAUUUAAUUAUUUAAUAUACAGUUUUUAAUGAAAUAAUUAAUUAUUUUAUGUUUUUAAAUAAUUUAAAAAUUGUGUGAAUUAAUUAUUGUGUUUUUGAAUUGUUGUAGGUUUUCUAAAAACGAGAUUUCGUAAGUUUUGGAUUGAAAUAAAAGCUAAUUUGCGGUAAAAAAUUAAAUUUAUUUAUUUAAUCAAUUAAUUUUUAAAUUAUUAGAUUUAUUGUACAAUUAAAUGAAUAAUUAUUAUUAAUUGAUUAACAAUUAACAAUUAACAAC